rnacentral:lncRNA from 1 species
GCUGCUGGGGUCUGGGUCCAAGGCCCGGGGUCUCUGAGGACGCACCUCCUUCCCAGCCCAUCCCCGUGCCCUCCGGGAGUGCCCUCCCUCGAGCGUCAGUGCCCAGGGAAGAAUGGCUCCCCAGGCCUCCCCAGUCGGGUGACACCUUGGGGGGGCUGUCGGCACAGGUGACACAGGCAGCACAGGGGAAAAGGCUCUUCCGUCUUCCUGAAGUAGCUCUGGUGCCAACGGAGCCCAGCGGGCGCAUGUGACCUGGGACCGCAGGCGAGGCCGGGGGCCCCCAGGGAGGGAGGGUGUGUCCUGUGUGUCACCUGUGAGCGCAGGUCCGUUCCUUCCCUCUGUCUAACUCACUUCGUGAGGCCUCGCCUGGCCAGGGACGUCAGGCCGUGCACGUUGUGCCAGCUGGACGGCCGCACAGAAACCAGACCGAAACUGCCGUGAGCCACCUGCAGGCGCGCUCCUUCCCUGCCACACUGUCAGGAGCCCGCAGACGGCAAAGGACGUUUAAACGCCUUAACUCGUCACAUGAUGACACCGGGCCGACAGGCAGAGCUGGUUUGUGGCAGCCCGGGGAGUGUCUCCGUGUCCCAACACUGUCCCCAGGCUUCUGGCCGCCUCCUUCCUUGUCUUCUGAACAGGAUUGAAUUCCUUCUCCUCUGGCCAGGACGGCACGGGAGCUGUUGAGAGCGGGAGCAGGUGGAAGAAAGCCCUGACUUAGCCUCGGGCCCGGCACCUGGGACCCUGGCACAAACCCCACCAGGCGUCCAGCCCCUCCCGGGCGCCGCCCCACCUGGUCCCUGGGGAGAGUUUCCUGAAACGCGCCGCGCAGCUCCCGUCUUGACGGCCUCCCAGCCAAGCUGCCGGGUCACUUGGAGGUGGUCCAGCAUCUUUUCUCCUUUGAGCCAAAGGACACCCUGUUUAAGAAUAAACCUCCUUGUACAGAGGCAGUAGUUGUUAACUAGUCCUGAACUAACUGAUCAGGGUGCUUCAAGGAUUCGUCCUGAGAGAAUGCCUCGUUUGGAACCAACGUGUCCAGGGACAGUGCUGUUGUUCACACAACAACAUACUGGGGAGGGCACUGCCCCUCGUCCUCACGGGACUGUGCCAGGCUUGUUCCCUGGCCCCCGGCAGCCAGGGAUCACAUCUACCUAAACAGGUGCCCGAGGCCAUGCUGGCCACGUGCAGGGGGAGAGGGAUGGGCCAGGGUCCUGACUUCCGGUCCCCUCCGUCCCCAAACUCACCAGAGCUGACCGCCACCCCCAGGCUCUCAGCUCUGCUCCUGGGGGUCCCGCCCGCGCCCCCCGCCCCACCAGGACAGCGGGCCUUGCCCCUCAUGCUUGGUCCUGAGGCAGGUCCUCGGGGGCGGAAGUCAGAUGCUAUGUCACUGGAAGACUUUUCAUGUCACUAAACUCUCACAUCAGAAACGAGAGGUUCUUGGUGAGGCCCCGGGUCCCAGCUUUUUAAGGAGCCUGUGCCAUCACCACGUUAGCUCCUCUCGAUUGGACCUGCUGUCCUGCCUCCUGUUGGAGGGGCUGGAUUUUACAGACGCCCGUCUGAGGUUCUCGAUUAGUUCCUAAGCCUUUCAAACCAGGGGCUGCCUGACCCCUGCUUCCCCCCCCCCACCCCCGCCGCCCCGGCUUGUCCCUCCCGCGCUGAUUCAGGAGUGAAGGAGUGGGGGGGCGGGUUUCUGGGACCCUUGAGUAUUUGCACAGUUUUCUCUAGAUCAGAGUUCAGGAAGCAGGAUUACUGAUGCUAACGGCCCCCUUCUCUCGCUUCUUCUUCUCUCCCUGCUGUGAAAGGCUGGCCCCGGUCUAAAUCCCAGCGCUGACAUGCGAGAGUCACGUCAGGUCAAUGACUUGGCUUCCUGAAACCCGCUUCCCCCCACUUCCUGCCUCUGUCUGUUUCCCUCUCCAGAUUUUUUUUUUUAAGGGCCGCACCCACGGCAUGUGGAAGUUCCCAGGCUAGGGGUUGAAUCGGAGCUACAGCUGCCGGGCUGCACCACAGCUACGGUAAUGCAGGAUCUGAGCCGCAUCUGCAACCUAUACCCCAGCUCAUGGCAACGCCAGAUCCUUAACCCACUGAGCGAGGCCAGGCAUCGAACCCGCGUCCUCACAGAUACUAGUUGGGUUCAUUACUGCUGAGCUGCAGCGGGAACUCCUCCCUUCCCAAACUGUAACACCAAAGUCAAGGCAGACCCAGGAUGGUCUGGAAGAGCUCUCUAAACACGUCACCUGCACCUGCACCCCUCCCCUUCCUGUCCCCACAGUAUAGUAGGAAAGAAUGGCUCUCCCCAGGUCACUGGGCCUCGCAGACACCCUGGCUUUGUCUAUGCCUGGAGCUGGGUCACAGACUAUGCCAGAAAAGGCACGGACAGUCUUGUCCUGGAAGGAAAGCCAUGGCCAGCACGUGCUUGCGAGGGUGCUGGCCAAGGAAAGUGCAGCGGGAUCAAACCCUGGUGCUUCAGGGCGCCUGCUGGCUGUGCGGUGUCCCCCACCCCUGCCCCCCAGGAGAGGGAGGCAGCCUGCAGUGGGGCAGCCACUCAGGUGAUGUCUCCUGGGAUGUGGGAGGAGUCCCAGGGGACCCCUGCUGCCUUCCCGGACGGUUUCAGCUUUGGUCACUGUUGAGUGGGCUGUUCUGAUGCUGAACCCUGCCGAGCUCUUGCUGGUUUGCUGAGGGGCUCUCUGGUGAUGUCUGGUGGCACCAGCCCAAGGCCAGCCCGUCCUCUGGGGUCACUGCUGGGGAAGGAAGCCAUCAGGACACAGCUCCACCACCCGCCGCGUCUGAGCAAACUGACUGCGUCGGCAAAGGCCGGCCCAGGAGUCGCCUCACCCCUUCCUUCCGGAGGCAAGUCCGCUGGGCCCCGCCGCGCCCCACCACGCUCGACCGGGUGACGCUGGCUUGGCCUGGAGGGGCCGUCCCCUAGAGCUCUGGCACUUGCAGAGGCGGGCACCCUGACAUGACGUUAGCAAAGGGCCACAGCUCUCAGAGCGCGACACUCCAACCACACUUCCGAGCCUGGCCUCACGGUCCUUAAAAGAGACCCGUGCCCACGUGGUCACUGGGCUGUCAGUGCCCUGUCCUCAGGGACGAUUGUCCAAGAACCAGGCUUAGCGGAGCCAUGCCAGCCCCUCGUUCCAGAUGGGGAAGGACCCAGCAGAAAGAGCAAAACUGCCCGGCAACAGCUGGCUGACACGGAACACACGAGUCCCCGGGAUCCCAGACCUGCCCAGGUGACACCAAGAUGUCGUAUGUCACCGAGACCGUGUGGUUGCUUCUGUGGUCAUCACCGUGGCAGCAGAUAAGCAACAGGAAAACAGGGCAUGGCAGGUGUGCUCACCAGAGAGCGUGUAGAAAGGAUGAAAAUGCACAGAGUUGGAGGGUCCCCCUCAAGCCCACCACGCAGAGAGAACCACGAUCCCACCUCCACGCUCUGGAGAGUUUUUAGACGUGGACUUAGAGAAAAUGUGAGCAAAAAUCCUACAACCAAAAAUUAUUUUCCUGACCAACUUUGUGUUCCUUUUGCUUUGGCCGCUGGGAAGCUCUUAAUUAAAUUUUUGGCCCAACUUCA